rnacentral:rRNA from 1 species
UACGUAGGGGGCGAGCGUUGUCCGGAAUUAUUGGGCGUAAAGAGCUCGUAGGCGGUCUGUCGCGUCGGAUGUGAAAAUCCAGGGCUCAACCCUGGACCUGCAUUCGAUACGGGCAGACUAGAGUUCGGCAGGGGAGACUGGAAUUCCUGGUGUAGCGGUGAAAUGCGCAGAUAUCAGGAGGAACACCAACAGCGAAGGCAGAUCUCUGGGACGUUACUGACGCUGAGACGCGAAAGCGUGGGGAGCAAACAGG